AUCAAGGUCGCUACACACGGUGGAAAUCUCUCGGUCUCUCUCCCAACGCGAGAGGCGGUUUCCAGGCGGGCUGCCUCCACUGGUCUCCAUCGCCUCCGGUAAGCCGUCGGGCUCUCGGAGGUGUGCGGGACAGUGUACGACCGCGAGGCGGUUGUAGAUAAUGUUGUUUUAGAAUUUUAUUCUGGCACUGGCGGGCAGGUAGGGGCGACGUCAACGCUGUGGGAUAAGGUUCCCCCUGGCUCCUUUCCCGUCUCCGCGGUGAUCCCUCCGGCCGGUGGCACUGCGGGGUUAGGGAGGUUGGCCUCUCUCUUAUCCGGCGAGGUUUGGUCGGUGAUGGGGGUGCACAAUAGUAUAGAAGUUGGGAUUUGUGGAGAGGGAUUCCCAGAUCAGGUCGCCUCGGACGGCCGACAGCUGCGCACUGUUGCGGGCGAAGUGGUUUGAGUUGCGGCUCCACUCCGUCAUAGGCUGCCGCUGGUCAAGGGAUCACUUGGUCUACCCCAGGCCGAUGCACCAGAACCCUCCCUGGUUCCGUCUUUUGGGGAGGGACUUAUAUGCGGCUCACAAAGCCAUGGAUUGGCGAUGCUGCUCCUCAUGCCCGUUGUCUUGUGGAUGACGGCUAGCACCGGCGAGUGCAGAGAUCAGCGUGCCUGGGUGAAUAAGGAAGAUGAACUGGGCUGUAAGUUACUUUGUUUUCUCUGUCGGCGUUAUUCCCUUUAGUGUUAUCUCUGCCUCUCUAGUUCUCAACCUCCAACGACAUGCCCUUUUUUGUGCUGGCCAUGGAGGCUAGCAGCGGCAGGACUGCCAUGACUAGGCCGCGCAAUAUUUCUAACAGUGUUGAGCUACUCGUUCCCGACAGCUCCGGUGCCAAGCUGCCAAGCAGGUAUGUGUGUGAUGGAUCUUUUAAUUUUAAGUUUGCUUCCUGUUCGAUUAGGUGCAUAUUUCGCAAGAUAAUGUUGUUCUAUCAUGUCUCUGAUUUUGAUUUCGAUUUUGAUUUUUCCUGCAGAUUUCAGGAUAUAGAAGGCAGCUUCAGGAAGGGGUCGCUGACGAGGUGAGACCAUUGCGUCUAUUCUUGUGUUAGUUUGUUUCAAAGAAAUCACACUAAUUUCUCUCAGUAUACUCUGCAGAGAAAUAAGUACUGAAGCAGGCUUCACCGAAGACUACUGAUCUAGAAUUGUUUGUUGCUGAAAUAAGUCCAGGAGCGGUGGAGCAGGCUGAACAAUUUUCUGUUGAUUUUACUGAAUGGAUUGUCCCUGUAAUUUGACCAAACGUCAUGUCGCCGUGCCACUGAAGUUUUUGCACAGAAUUCUUGUCUUUUUGGGUGGUGCCAAGCUGUCUUUUUGUUGAACAAUGCCACAAUUGCAUAGUUGUAAGUUAUUUAGGAUUGUCUCUAUUGCAUACGACCUGGAGUUACAAGAGGUCCAGUACUAAUUUUGUGUAUGUAUGUACAUGUGCAGUCACCCAUUUUCUAUACACAAGAUUCCAAAGCAUCUUUUACUGUACAUUUUGUUUCUUUUCUCGGUACAAAAUGUAUUGCAAGUGUUGUUCAUUUUUUCCCUUCUCUAAAUAUACUAGAGACCCUCUAAGGGCUCAGUUUUCUUCCCGUUUGUCUGAAUAUACCCAGAUUUAUUUUGUGUGUGCGUAUUUAACAAAGCAUUUAGUUA
rnacentral:lncRNA from 1 species